GUCGAACGCAGUAGCAAUACUGAGUGGCAAACGGGUGAGUAUAAUGUGGGAAUCUGCCUUUUGGUUUGGAAUAACACGGGGAAACUUGUGCUAAUACCGGAUAAGCCCUUACGGGGAAAGUUUUAACGCCGAAAGAUGAGCCUGCACUUGAUUAGCUAGUUGGUAAGGUAAAAGCUUACCAAGGCUACGAUCAAUAGCUGUUCUUAGAGGAAGACCAGCCACAUUGGGACUGAGACACGGCCCAGACUCCUACGGGAGGCAGCAGUGGGGAAUCUUGCACAAUGGGGGAAACCCUGAUGCAGCGAUGCCGCGUGAGUGAAGAAGGCCCUUGGGUUGUAAAACUCUUUCGUCGGGGAAGAAAAUGACUGUACCCGAAUAAGAAGGUCCGGCUAACUUCGUGCCAGCAGCCGCGGUAAUACGAAGGGACCUAGCGUAGUUCGGAAUUACUGGGCUUAAAGAGCUCGUAGGUGGUUAAAAAAGUUGAUGGUGAAAUCCCAAGGCUUAACCUUGGAACUGCCAUCAAAACUUUUUAGCUAGAGUGUGAUAGAGGUAAGUGGAAUUUCUAGUGUAGAGGUGAAAUUCGUAGAUAUUAGAAAGAACACCAAAUGCGAAGGCAACUUACUGGGUCACUACUGACACUGAGGAGCGAAAGCAUGGGUAGCGAAGAGGAUUAGAUACCCUCGUAGUCCAUGCCGUANACGAUGUGUGCUAGACGUUGGAAAUAUAUUUUUCAGUGUCGCAGCGAAAGCAUUAAGCACACCGCCUGGGGAGUACGACCGCAAGGUUAAAACUCACAUGAAUUGACGGGGACCCGCAC
rnacentral:rRNA from 1 species